UACAGAGGUCUCAAGCGUUGUUCGGAUUCAUUGGGCGUAAAGGGUGCGUAGGCGGCGCGGUAAGUCGGGUGUGAAAUCUCGGGGCUUAACUCCGAAACUGCAUUCGAUACUGCCGUGCUUGAGGACUGGAGAGGAGACUGGAAUUUACGGUGUAGCGGUGAAAUGCGUAGAUAUCGUAAGGAAGACCAGUGGCGAAGGCGGGUCUCUGGACAGUUCCUGACGCUGAGACGCGAAAGCGUGGGGAGCAAACAGG
rnacentral:rRNA from 1 species